rnacentral:rRNA from 1 species
GACGAACGCUGGCGGCGUGCUUAACACAUGCAAGUCGAACGGUGAAGCGCCUUCCUUUUUGGUGGGUGUGGAUGAGUGGCGAACGGGUGAGUAACACGUGAGUAACCUGCCCCCUUCUUCUGGAUAACCGCAUGAAAGUGUGGCUAAUACGGGAUAUUCUGGGUCUGUCGCAUGAUGGGUCUGGGAAAGAUAUUGUUUCGGUGGGGGAUGGGCUCGCGGCCUAUCAGCUUGUUGGUGGGGUGAUGGCCUACCAAGGCGGUGACGGGUAGCCGGCCUGAGAGGGUGGACGGUCACACUGGGACUGAGACACGGCCCAGACUCCUACGGGAGGCAGCAGUGGGGAAUAUUGCACAAUGGGCGCAAGCCUGAUACAGCGACGCCGCGUGAGGGAUGGAGGCCUUCGGGUUGUGAACCUCUUUCGCCAGUGAAGCAGGCCUGCCUCGUUUGUGGGUGGGUUGACGGUAGCUGGAUAAGAAGCGCCGGCUAACUACGUG